UACAGAGGGUGCAAGCGUUGUUCGGAAUCACUGGGCGUAAAGCGCGCGUAGGCGGCGUUUCAAGUCAGGGGUGAAAUCCUGAGGCUUAACCUCAGAAUUGCCUUUGAAACUGUAACGCUAGAAUAUCGGAGGGGAUAGCGGAAUUUCCAAUGUAGCGGUGAAAUGCGUAGAUAUUGGAAGGAACACCGGUGGCGAAGGCGGCUAUCUGGACGAUUAUUGACGCUGAGGCGCGAAAGCGUGGGGAUCAAACAGG
rnacentral:rRNA from 1 species